rnacentral:rRNA from 1 species
AACGUAGGAGACAAACGUUAUCCGGAGUUACUGGGCGUAAAGAGCGUGUAGGCGGUCCGGUAAGUCCGCUGUGAAAGUCGGGGGCUCAACCCUCGGAUGCCGGUGGAGUACUGUCGGGCUUGAGUACGGAAGAGGCGAGUGGAAUUCCUGGUGUAGCGGUGAAAUGCGCAGAUAUCAGGAGGAACACCGAUGGCGAAGGCAGCUCGCUGGACGGUACUGCGCUGGAGGCGCGGAAGCGUGGGAGCGAACAGG